rnacentral:rRNA from 1 species
AGUUACCGGAGGACCGAACCCACUGUCGUUGAAAAGCCAGGGGAUGACUUGUGGAUAGGGGUGAAAGGCUAAUCAAACUCGGUGAUAGCUGGUUCUCCCCGAAAGCUAUUUAGGUAGCGCCUCGGACGAAUACUACUGGGGGUAGAGCACUGUUUGGACUAGGGGGUCAUCCCGACUUACCAACUCCAUGCAAACUCCGAAUACCAGUAAGUAAUAUCCGGGAGACACACGGCGGGUGCUAACGUCCGUCGUGAAGAGGGAAACAACCCAGACCGCCGGCUAAGGUCCCAAAGUUCUGGUUAAGUGGGAAACGAUGUGGGAAGGCUCAGACAGCUAGGAUGUUGGCUUAGAAGCAGCCAUCAUUUAAAGAAAGCGUAAUAGCUCACUAGUCGAGUCGGCCUGCGCGGAAGAUGUAACGGGGCUCAAACCAGGCACCGAAGCCGCGGAUUCACACUUAUGUGUGAGUGGUAGGGGAGCGUUCUGUAAGUCUGCGAAGGUGUAUCGAGAGGUAUGCUGGAGAUAUCAGAAGUGCGAAUGCUGACGUAAGUAACGAUAAAGGGGGUGAAAAGCCUCCUCGCCGGAAGACCAAGGGUUCCUGUCCAACGUUAAUCGGGGCAGGGUGAGUCGACCCCUAAGGUGAGGCCGAAAGGCGUAAUCGAUGGGAAGCAGGUUAAUAUUCCUGCACGACUUGUAAUUGCGAUGGGGGGACGGAGAAGGCUAGGUGGGCCAGGCGACGGUUGUCCUGGUGAAAGUGCGUAGGUGGUGUUUCUAGGCAAAUCCGGAGACACAACACUGAGACACGAGACGAAGCCACUACGGUGGUGAAGCCAUUGAUGCCCUGCUUCCAGGAAAAGCCUCUAAGCUUCAGAUUACAAGUCAUCGUACCCCAAACCGACACAGGUGGUCGGGUAGAGAAUACCAAGGCGCUUGAGAGAACUCGGGUGAAGGAACUAGGCAAAAUAGAACCGUAACUUCGGGAGAAGGUUCGCUCUUGACAGUGAAGUCCCUCGCGGAUGGAGCAGUUGGGAGUCGCAGUGACCAGAUGGCUGGGACUGUUUAUCAAAAACACAGCACUCUGCAAACACGAAAGUGGACGUAUAGGGUGUGACGCCUGCCCGGUGCUGGAAGAUUAAAUGAUGGGGUGCAAGCUCUUGAUUGAAGUCCCAGUAAACGGCGGCCGUAACAAUAACGGUCCUAAGGUAGCGAAAUUCCUUGUCGGGUAAGUUCCGACCUGCACGAAUGGCAUAAUGAUGGGGGCGCUGUCUCCAGCAGAGACUCAGUGAAAUCGAAUUCG